rnacentral:lncRNA from 1 species
CAACACAGUAGGAUGACUAAAGGACGUAACACUUCUGGACGGGAAUUAUAUGUUGAAGAAUUGUUUUGAAAUGUACAAUAACGAAGAUAUUGGCAUUCUCCUUGCACCAUCUUCUGCGAGCUGCAAAGGCUCUCCACCUAAAGUAUGACAAGGAAGCAGUAGACUCAUCAUUCACGAUGCUUAUUUUAUGUGCUUCCAAGGGAUGCGGCCAAAGGACGACCUGCGGAAUAUUUGUGCGCUCGAUCGGCGCCGCAAUCUCCCGAGCAAAGUUCACCUUUGCUGAAGAUCCAAGCGUAAGAAACUGAAGCAGCAGACGGCUUCAAGCCAUGAUCUGUGCGAAUCACCUUUAUGGGAGCUGCAAAAAAGAAUAAAAAGUGUAUCCCCAGUGUUUAUGUACUUUUAUUAUACUGUAACAGUAUAUUUCUGAACAAACCAUCUGAAACAUGGUGGAUCGGUAGCACUGCAGAAAGCCGAUGAAUGCUUGUGAAAACAUGGAAAUACACAAAGCAGCAUACGAUCUUA